UACGGAGGUGGCAAGCGUUGCUCGGAAUCACUGGGCGUAAAGGGCGCGUAGGCGGGGAGGUAAGUCGGGUGUGAAAUCCCUCGGCUCAACUGAGGAACUGCGCCCGAGACUGCUUCUCUUGAGUCCCGGAGAGGAAGGUGGAAUUCCCGGUGUAGCGGUGAAAUGUGUAGAGAUCGGGAGGAACACCGGUGGCGAAGGCGGCCUUCUGGACGGUGACUGACGCUGAGGCGCGAAAGCGUGGGGAGCAAACGGG
rnacentral:rRNA from 1 species